AUUUUCAAAACAUUUCUUCAUAAAGUACUCUUUGAUUUAUUGCAAGGCCAUUGGAAAUGGACCAAGUAAGUUAAUCCUCCGAUGCUUCUUUGCCCUUCCAUUCUUAACAGUAAAAAAUGUUUUUGGAUCAUUUGCUUCAAUCACCAAAGUGACUUUGCCUGCAAACUAAAUUUAGUACGAUAAUCUCAAUGUGAUUUGUAUAUACAUUCUCAUUAUAGAAUUAAUAUAUAAUCUUGUCUUAAUUACAAUACAUUGUAUGUCCUAAAAUAUAAGACCAUCAUGUAUAGAUAGCAUGAUAUUAGGGAUAUCAAAUCACUAAUGUCUGUUACCCCCCUCCCCAGCUUGAGAUGCGAGAAAGCUCAAAUUGGCAAAGCAAAUGGAGAGAUGAGGGCCCUUUGGUGAAAAUAUUGGUGAGAAUAUCGGCCACAUGAUCACUACCGGAAACAAACUUGACUCUGAUAUCUCUCGACUUUCUUGAACAAAAUGCAAAGCAACCUUUAAAUGCUUGCUUAGUCCUAGCAUGAUUAAUAGGAUUGACUACGAGAUAGGUGGUGGAAAUAUUAUCAAGGUAGACGAGGUGCAAUAGGUAAGUCACUAAGCAAAGAAUGAAACCAAGAUGAUUCGGCAACAUCAGCGGCAAGGGUACGAUACUCAGAUUUUAUACUACUUCAUGAAACUUGGGAUGACCACACAGCAAGAUCAGAACUUGAUGCCAAGGCAAAGGAAGGAGAGGUGUUAAGAGCCUUGAAGCUCAGGAAUUCCUAGCUGAACAGAGGAACCAUGGAAGGCGGUCUACAAGGGUACAACAAGGAGGAGGUAGGCCGUGAAUUCAUACACCCCGCCAAGGAAGAACCUGCAGAAGAAGACCCUGGCCCAGAUGUAGGAAUUGAUGCUGACGAAUGCAGAGGAUGAUCCAUACCUUGACCAGGAACUGCCUGUUAUUGCUGCUUUCUCCUCUGUCUCUAUAUGUUUGUUAGCUCUCCUAAUAGAUAUGUUAGUAGCAUGAAGCACUAGCUCUGCUCUGCUGAAAGUAAAAUUAAACAGGCUGCUUGCUAGCAUCAUCUCUUGUAACAUGUUUGCUAGCAUCAUCGUCCUGUUUGUUGCUGUCUGUGACAUCUCUUGUAACAUGGCAGUGUUUCAUGACCUUCCACUUCGGUUUCAGAAAUAGCACAUGCAACAACUUUCUUGAAAUUACAAGACAGAAUCUACUUUUCCGAAACUUUAGAAGGAACAGUCAGUGACAAGGAA